rnacentral:rRNA from 1 species
GCUAGUAAUGGCAGGUCAGCAUACUGCCGUGAAUACGUUCCCGGGCCUUGUACACACCGCCCGUCACACCAUGAGAGUUGGGGAUACCCGAAGCCUGUGAGCCAACUUUUAAGAGGCAGCAGUCGAAGGUAGAAUCAAUGAUUGGGGUGAAGUCGUAACAAGGUAUC